AAAGAAGAACCAAAACUGAAAUUUUAAAGAGGAAAUGUCACUGAUGAAACCAAAACAGUCUUCUCCGGUCCAAAGUGAAACCAAUCAUAAGGAACCCUUCAAAGAUCUUCAUUUUUCUUAAAGAAUUAGCAUCUCCACUGUCUCUGUCUCAGACACAGUAAAAACUCCGGCUCGCUUGGCGGAUAAAUCUCUUGUUCUCUCUCUCUCUGUCUUGUCUGAUGCAAAUUAACCCAUGAAGCAAGCCCAAAAAAAACCCCUAAAAGAAUGAUCAUUUAGGUUAAAAAACGACAGGCUUGUAAAAGGGUUUUGCACCAGAAUAUAUCAGAAGAGAGAGUCAAGUUUCUUGUGAAAGGAUUUUGCCAAGCAGCCAAAGGAGAGCUUCAUUGUCCAUGGAACUUCAAGAACUAGAUAUUAGGGAACUAUAUAUAUUUUAUAUAUAGAUUUAUAUAUAAUUAAGGAGAAGAGUCAUCUCUUUACUCAUCGCCUUGGAUGUACCAGCAACAAAGCAUGGUAGCACAACGACGAAGAAUGUAGAGACGAGCUCGUUGCUCCUUCACCAAGGAAGCACAUUUGCUUGUAAAGGCGUGACCUUUGUUUAACUUACUCUUGAACUCAGCCAUUACAACAAUCAAGGUUUUUUUGGUAUUUCAAUAUAUUAAUUGAAGAGAACAAAUAAAAACAGAUUAAAACUUUGGGGUGUAGAAUGUGAUGAAGAAAAGAAAAAACCCUUUUUG